GGGGAUGUAGCUCAGUGGUGGAGCGUUUGCCUAGAAUGUGUGAGGCUCUGGGUUAGAUCCCCAGCACCUUGA
rnacentral:tRNA from 1 species